UGCGGAAGGAUCAUUAAAUAAUCAAUAAUCUUGGCUUGUCCAUUAUUAUCUAUUUACUGUGAACUGUAUUAUUAUUUGACAUUUGAGGGAUGUUCCAAUGUUAUAAGGAUAGACAUUGGAAAUGUUAACCGAGUCAUAAUCAGGUUUAGGCCUGGUAUCCUAUUAUUAUUUACCAAAUGAAUUCAGAAUUAAUAUUGUAACAUAGACCUAAAAAAUCUAUAAAACAACUUUUAACAACGGAUCUCUUGGUUCUCGCAUCGAUGAAGAACGUAGCAAAGUGCGAUAACUAGUGUGAAUUGCAUAUUCAGUGAAUCAUCGAGUCUUUGAACGCAACUUGCGCUCAUUGGUAUUCCAAUGAGCACACCUGUUUCAGUAUCAAAACAAACCCUCUAUCCAACUUUUGUUGAAUAGGAUUAUUGGGGGCCUCUCGAUCUGUAUUGAUCUUGAAACCCUUGAAAUGUACUAAGGCCUGAACUUGUUUAAUGCCUGAACUUUUUUUUAAUAUAAAGGAAAGCUCUUGUAAUUGACUUUGAUGGGGCCUCCCAAAUAAAUCUCUUUAAAUUUGAUCUGAAAUCAGGUGGGAUUACCCGCUGAACUUAAGCAUAUCAUAAACCGGAAGAAAAAAGAAUCAUUAAAUAAUCAAUAAUCUUGGCUUGUCCAUUAUUAUCUAUUUACUGUGAACUGUAUUAUUAUUUGACAUUUGAGGGAUGUUCCAAUGUUAUAAGGAUAGACAUUGGAAAUGUUAACCGAGUCAUAAUCAGGUUUAGGCCUGGUAUCCUAUUAUUAUUUACCAAAUGAAUUCAGAAUUAAUAUUGUAACAUAGACCUAAAAAAUCUAUAAAACAACUUUUAACAACGGAUCUCUUGGUUCUCGCAUCGAUGAAGAACGUAGCAAAGUGCGAUAACUAGUGUGAAUUGCAUAUUCAGUGAAUCAUCGAGUCUUUGAACGCAACUUGCGCUC
rnacentral:rRNA from 1 species